rnacentral:rRNA from 1 species
CUCCAUGAAGUUGGAUUCGCUAGUAAUCGCGCAUCAGCCAUGGCGCGGUGAAUACGUUCCCGGGCCUUGUACACACCGCCCGUCAAGCCAUGGGAGCCGGGGGUGCCUGAAGUUCGUUACCGCAAGGAUCGACCUAGGGCAAAACUGGUGACUGGGGCUAAGUCGUAACAAGGUAAC